rnacentral:rRNA from 1 species
UACGGGGGGAGCAAGCGUUGUUCGGAUUCAUUGGGCGUAAAGGGUGCGUAGGCGGCGCGGUAAGUCGGGUGUGAAAUCUCGGAGCUUAACUCCGAAACUGCAUUCGAUACUGCCGUGCUUGAGGACUGGAGGAGGAGACGAUUGGAAUUUACGGUGUAGCGGAUGAAAUGCGUAGAUAUCGUAAGGAAGACCAGUGGCGAAGGCGGGUCUCUGGACAGUUCCUGACGCUGAGGCACGAAGGCCAGGGGAGCAAACGGG